rnacentral:rRNA from 1 species
UACGUAGGGUGCAAGCGUUAAUCGGAAUUACUGGGCGUAAAGCGUGCACAGGCGGUUUUGUAAGUCAGAUGUGAAAUCCCCGGGCUUAACCUGGGAACUGCGUUUGAAACUACAAGGCUAGAGUGUAGCAGAGGGGGGUGGAAUUCCACGUGUAGCAGGUGAAAAUGGCGUAGAGAUGUGGAGGAACACCGAAUGGCGAAGGCAGCCCCCCUGGGUUAACAACUGACGCUCGAGGCACGAAA